rnacentral:rRNA from 1 species
CCUACGGGUGGCAGCAGUGAGGAAUAUUGGUCAAUGGACGAGAGUCUGAACCAGCCAAGUAGCGUGAAGGAUGACUGCCCUAUGGGUUGUAAACUUCUUUUAUAUGGGAAUAAACUGUUCCACGUGUGGGCUUUUGUAUGUACCAUAUGAAUAAGAAUCGGCUAACUCCGUGCCAGCAGCCGCGGUAAUACGGAGGUUCCGAGCGUUAUCCGGAUUUAUUGGGUUUAAAGGGAGCGUAGGUGGAUUGUUAAGUCAGUUGUGAAAGUUUGCGGCUCAACCGUAAAAUUGCAGUUGAAACUGGCAGUCUUGAGUACAGUAGAGGUGGGCGGAAUUCGUGGUGUAGCGGUGAAAUGCUUAGAUAUCACGAAGAACUCCGAUUGCGAAGGCAGCUCACUGGACUGCAACUGACACUGAGGCUCGAAAGUGUGGGUAUCAAACAGGAUUAGAUACCCCAGUAGUC